CCCAAGGAUGAAAAGCAGAGAGCUCUGU
rnacentral:piRNA from 1 species